AGCUGGAUUCCACCCAGUGAUUGACACAGACCACUCACCAUGGAGCUGGGGCUGUGCUGGGUUUUCCUUGCUGCUCUUUUAAAAGGUGUCCAGUGUGAGGUGCAGCUGGUGGAGUCUGGGGGAGGCUUGGUGCAGCCUGAGGGGUCCCUGAGCCUCUCCUGUGCAGCCUCUGGAUUCACCUUCAGUGGUUUCUGGAUGAGCUGGAUCCGACAAGCUCCAGGGAAAGGGCUGGAGUGGAUUGCACAAAUUAAUCAAAAUGGUGGUAGCACAUACUACACAGAGUCUGUGAAGGGAAGAUUCACCAUCUCCAGAGACAACAAUAAAAACAUGCUGAAUCUGCAAAUGAACAGCCUGAGAACCGAGGACACUGCUGUGUAUUACUGUGCAAGAGACACAGUGCAAGGAGCUCAGUGUGAGCCCAGACACAAACCUCUCAGCAGGGACUCUGGGCCAGCAGGGGGCGCUGGGCCCUGGGGACCAGGACCUCAGACUCAGGCCUGA